rnacentral:rRNA from 1 species
UAGGGAAUCUUCGGCAAUGGACGAAAGUCUGACCGAGCAACGCCGCGUGAGUGAAGAAGGUUUUCGGAUCGUAAAACUCUGUUGGUAGAGAAGAACGUUGGUGAGAGUGGAAAGCUCAUCAAGUGACGGUAACUACCCAGAAAGGGACGGCUAACUACGUGCCAGCAGCCGCGGUAAUACGUAGGUCCCGAGCGUUGUCCGGAUUUAUUGGGCGUAAAGCGAGCGCAGGUGGUUUAUUAAGUCUGGUGUAAAAGGCAGUGGCUCAACCAUUGUAUGCAUUGGAAACUGGUAGACUUGAGUGCAGGAGAGGAGAGUGGAAUU